rnacentral:rRNA from 1 species
UACGGGAGGCAGCAGUGGGGAAUAUUGCACAAUGGGCGCAAGCCUGAUGCAGCCAUGCCGCGUGUAUGAAGAAGGCCUUCGGGUUGUAAAGUACUUUCAGUCGUGAGGAAGGUGUUAAGGUUAAUAACCUUAGCAAUUGACGUUAGCGACAGAAGAAGCACCGGCUAACUCCGUGCCAGCAGCCGCGGUAAUACGGAGGGUGCGAGCGUUAAUCGGAAUUACUGGGCUAAAGGGCACGCAGGCGGUUAAUUAAGUUGGAUGUGAAAUCCCCGGGCUUAACCUGGGAAUGGCAUUCAAGCUGGUUAGCUAGAGUCUUGUAGAGGGGGUAGAAUUCCAUGUGUAGCGGUGAAAUGCGUAGAGAUGUGGAGGAAUACCGGUGGCGAAGGCGGCCCCUGGGACAAAGACUGACGCUCAUGUGCGAAAGCUGGGGAGCAAACAGGGAUUAGAUACC